rnacentral:rRNA from 1 species
AUGCAGUCGAGGGGCAGCGAGGGAGUGGCAACACUUCUGUCGGCGACCGGCGCACGGGUGAGUAACGCGUAUGCAACCUGCCCUUCACAGGGGGAUAACCGGGAGAAAUUCCGACUAAUACCGCAUACGUCCCCUGGGGGCAUCCCCUGGGGAUGAAAGAAUUAUCGGUGAAGGAUGGGCAUGCGUGAUAUUAGGUAGUUGGCGGGGCAACGGCCCACCAAGCCCACGAUAUCUAGGGGUUCUGAGAGGAAGGUCCCCCACAUUGGUACUGAGACACGGACCAAACUCCUACGGGAGGCAGCAGUGAGGAAUAUUGGUCAAUGGACGAGAGUCUGAACCAGCCAAGUCGCGUGAAGGAAGACGGAUCUAUGGUUUGUAAACUUCUUUAGUGCGGGAACAAAGCGGCGUCGUGACGCCGGAUGAGUGUACCGCAAGAAUAAGCAUCGGCUAACUCCGUGCCAGCAGCCGCGGUAAUACGGAGGAUGCGAGCGUUAUCCGGAUUUAUUGGGUUUAAAGGGAGCGCAGGCUGCGAGGCAAGUCAGCGGUCAAAUGUCGGGGCUCAACCCCGGCCUGCCGUUGAAACUGUCCUGCUAGAGUUCGAGUGAGGUAUGCGGAAUGCGUUGUGUAGCGGUGAAAUGCAUAGAUAUGACGCA